rnacentral:rRNA from 1 species
AGAGUUUGAUCCUGGCUCAGGAUGAACGCUGGCGGCAUGCCUAACCUAUGCAAGUCGAACGAGGCUUUGAGCCGAGUGGCGGACGAGUGAGUAACACGUACCUAAUCUGCCUGUAAGUGGGGAAUAACUGCCCGAAAGGGUAGCUAAUACCGCAUGUGCUCUACGGAGUAAAGCUUUUGCGCUUACAGAUGAGGGUGCGUCCUAUCAGCUAGUUGGUGAGGUAAUAGCUCACCAAGGCUAUGACGGGUAGCUGGUCUGAGAGGAUGAUCAGCCACGCUGGGACUGAGAUACGGCCCAGACUCCUACGGGAGGCAGCAAGUGGGAAUAUUGCACAAUGGACGAAAGUCUGAUGCAGCGAUGCCGCGUGGGGGAUGAAGGUUUUCGGAUCGUAAACCCCUUUUAUCGAUCAGGAAGAUAUGACCAGUCGAUGAAUAAGCACCUGCUAACUACGUGCCAGCAGCCGCGGUAAUACGUAGGGUGCAAGCGUUAUCCGGAAUUAUUGGGCGUAAAGAGUUGCGUAGGCGGACUAUCAAGUUUUUGGUGAAAUCCUUCGGCUUAACCGGAGAACUGCCAAGAAUACUGGUAGACUUAGAGGGAAUCAGGGGGUACUGGAACUCGUGGUGUAGCAGUCAAAUGCGUUGAUAUCACGAGGAACACCAAAGGCGAAGGCAGGUACCUGGGAUUCACCUGACGCUAAGGCACGAAAGCGUGGGGAGCGAAACGGAUUAGAUACCCGUGUAGUCCACGCCGUAAACGAUGGAUACUAGAUGCUUGGGGUAUUGACCCCCUGGGCGUCGCAAGCUAACGCGUUAAGUAUCCCGCCUGGGGAGUACGGUCGCAAGACUAAAACUCAAAGGAAUUGACGGGGGACCGCACAAGCGGUGGAGCGCGUGGUUUAAUUCGAUGUUAAGCGAAGAACCUUACCGAGGUUUGACAUGCUACUGCAAAGCCUAUGAAAGUAGGCCUCCUUCGAGGGUGUAGCACAGGUGUUGCACGGCUGUUGUCAGCUCGUGUCGUGAGAUGUUGGCUUAAGUGCUAUAACGAGCGCAACCCCUGUGAUAAGUUGUAUCACUCUUAUCAGACUGCCUGCACUUAUGUGCAGGAGGAAGGCGGGGACGACUUCAAGUCAUCGUGGCCCUUAUACCUCGGGCUACACACGCGCUACAAUGGUAGAUAACAACGAGUUGCAAGUCAGCGAUGACAAGCUAAUCUCUUAAACUCUAUCUCAGUCCGGAUUGCAGGCUGAAACUCGCCUGCAUGAAGUUGGAAUCGCUAGUAAACGUGGGUCAGCACACCGCGUUGAAUACGUUCUCGGUCCUUGUACACACCGCCCGUCAAGUUGGGAAAGUUAGGGGCACCCGAAGACCCAUUAGCAAAGCCGGAAGGAAGCGUGGGUCGAAGGUGAAACUAGCGAUCAAAGCUAAGUCGUAACAAGGU